UCAGCGACAUCGACUAGUUACAGAUAACAGACACAGAAAGAGGUAAGCGCUAAAGUACAGUCAUUAAAUUGGAAUGGAAAACAUUGCAACUCACGGACUUUCUCUUGCAUCAGUUGCGUCGAUCUCAAGAAAGAAGUCGCUAACGUUAAAACUAAGACCGAGUCGAAUAACUUGGUUUUAUCUGAUAUACCAAAAAUGAAUGGAUUAUUGGACGGUCAAUUAUUAACGAUAGUCGAAUUAAUGAAAGGGAUCGAUCAAAAGUUUAGCAGUAUGCAAACAGAAAUCGGCAGCUUAAGAAGGGAAAUGCACGAAAUGAAGCAGAAAAAUAACUUGAUUUGACUGUAUUUCGUGUAUGUUCUUCAUUGAGUUCUAUAAAGAACUCUUCACGUUGCAACUUUAUUAGUUAUAGUUGGUUGAAAACUUCAAAAUACAAAAAAUUUACGCAGUUGCUUUUGAAA